rnacentral:rRNA from 1 species
AUUGAACGCUGGCGGAAUGCUUUACACAUGCAAGUCGAACGGCAGCACGGGGGCAACCCUGGUGGCGAGUGGCGAACGGGUGAGUAAUACAUCGGAACGUGCCCAGUCGUGGGGGAUAACGUAGUGAAAGUUACGCUAAUACCGCAUACGAUCUACGGAUGAAAGCGGGGGACCGUAAGGCCUCGCGCGAUUGGAGCGGCCGAUGUCAGAUUAGGUAGUUGGUGAGGUAAAGGCUCACCAAGCCGACGAUCUGUAGCUGGUCUGAGAGGACGACCAGCCACACUGGGACUGAGACACGGCCCAGACUCCUACGGGAGGCAGCAGUGGGGAAUUUUGGACAAUGGGCGCAAGCCUGAUCCAGCCAUUCCGCGUGCAGGACGAAGGCCUUCGGGUUGUAAACUGCUUUUGUACGGAACGAAAAGGCUCUGGUUAAUACCUGGGGCUCAUGACGGUACCGUAAGAAUGAGCACCGGCUAACUACGUGCCAGCAGCCGCCGUAA